UUGAUCCCUUACUUUAGUUUUGUUGCAUGUGCUUGUUGACAUAAUUUUUAUAUUAUAAAUGGCAUUCGUCUUAUUUUAGCUUCUUUUUGUCCAUAUUAGUCAGGCGCCAUUAUAUCGAUAUACUUUUCGUGGAAUCCCGCAAUUAUUUUUUAUUGGUGUAAUCGAUAACCAAAUCGAUUAGCCCCCAAAUCGAUAAAUCGAAAUCGAAAAAAUCGAAACCUUAUUGAAACGAUAAUGAUAAACAUAUGU
rnacentral:lncRNA from 1 species